rnacentral:rRNA from 1 species
GACGAACGCUGGCGGCGUGCUUAACACAUGCAAGUCGAACGAAGAGCGAUGGAAGCUUGCUUCUAUCAAUCUUAGUGGCGAACGGGUGAGUAACGCGUAAUCAACCUGCCCUUCAGAGGGGGACAACAGUUGGAAACGACUGCUAAUACCGCAUACGAUCUGACCUCGGCAUCGAGGAUAGAUGAAAGGUGGCCUCUAUUUAUAAGCUAUCACUGAAGGAGGGGAUUGCGUCUGAUUAGCUAGUUGGAGGGGUAACGGCCCACCAAGGCGAUGAUCAGUAGCCGGUCUGAGAGGAUGAACGGCCACAUUGGGACUGAGACACGGCCCAGACUCCUACGGGAGGCAGCAGUGGGGAAUCUUGCGCAAUGGACGAAAGUCUGACGGAGCAACGCCGCGUGAGUGAUGACGGCCUUCGGGUUGUAAAGCUCUGUUAAUCGGGACGAAAGGCCUUCUUGCGAAUAGUUAGAAGGAUUGACGGUACCGGAAUAGAAAGCCACGGCUAACUACGUG